CCUACGGGGGGCAGCAGUGAGGAAUAUUGGUCAAUGGACGAGAGUCUGAACCAGCCAAGUAGCGUGAAGGAUGACUGCCCUAUGGGUUGUAAACUUCUUUUAUAUGGGAAUAAAAUGUUCCACGUGUGGGAUUUUGUAUGUACCAUAUGAAUAAGGAUCGGCUAACUCCGUGCCAGCAGCCGCGGUAAUACGGAUGAUCCGAGCGUUAUCCGGAUUUAUUGGGUUUAAAGGGAGCGUAGGUGGAUUGUUAAGUCAGUUGUGAAAGUUUGCGGCUCAACCGUAAAAUUGCAGUUGAAACUGGCAGUCUUGAGUACAGUAGAGGUGGGCGGAAUUCGUGGUGUAGCGGUGAAAUGCUUAGAUAUCACGAAGAACUCCGAUUGCGAAGGCAGUUCACUGGACUGCAACUGACACUGAGGCUCGAAAGUGUGGGUAUCAAACAGGAUUAGAUACCCUUGUAGUC
rnacentral:rRNA from 1 species